CCCUUAGAUGUUCUGGGCCGCACGCGCGCUACACUGAUGCAUUCAACGAGUCUAAAACCUGCUCUGAUAGGGGUGGGUAAUCUUUUGAAUGUGCAUCGUGAUUGGGAUAGAUGAUUGCAAUUUUUCAUCUUCAACGAGGAAUGCCUAGUAAACGCAAGUCAUCAGCUUGCAUUGAUUACGUCCCUGCCCUUUGUACACACCGCCCGUCGCUCCUACCGAUUGAAUGAUCCGAUGAAUAUCAUGGAUUGAGGAUGCAAGUAGGUUCGCCAAUCUUCAUCUUCGAGAAGUGAAGUAAAUCUUAUCAUUUAGAGGAAGGAGAAGUCGUAACA
rnacentral:rRNA from 1 species